GACAAAGACAAGGUUAAAUUAAUUGGAGCUCAUUGGAAUUCAUAUUUGUUUUACUACAGAGGAAGGAGCUCAUUUGCUGAGACUCUGGAUGAGUUUGCUGCUGGCCAGGCCAGCAUUUAUUAUCCAUCUCUUUCUCCAGGGCAAUUAGGAAUCAACUGAGGGGAAGUGAUGACACGGGAGCAGUAAUCAAGAACCCCAGGCAAUUGUCGGAGCAGAGGUGAUGGAUGAGCAGAACAUGGUGCAAGUUAGGUCAUUGGCAACAGACCUUAACAUUCUAGAGUGUGGAAGAGGAAGAUCAUCCAAGAGGAUGUUGCAACGGUGGAGUCUAAAGGAUCAAUGGAGAGGAUUGGACAAGUAAUCCAAAAGAUGGCUUCAAAUCACGCACAAGCAACAGGACAUUUAAAUUCAAUAUUUAAAUAAAUC